UCGGCAGUCGCUGUUUGGGACGCUGAGUGCGCGGUUGCUAGGUCUCCGCUCCGGGUUCGCUGUCACAGUCUGUCUCUUCUCGAAGCCUGGAACAGACUGGGCGCGCGCCCGCGUGUGGUGUGUGUGUGUGUGUGUGUGUUUGUGUGUGCUGUGACUGUGAGGGGGACUCAGGGCAGAGACGUCCCCUCGCUGCCUUUUUUUUUUUUUUGCCUUUUUACCCAAAGGAGGCGGUUCGCACGCUUGCCUUCCUGUCGCCCCGUUGGGAGCGGGGUUUGCGUGUGGACUAGUUCAUCUUUUUUUUUCUUUUUAAACUUGUGAGCCCGGUUUUUUCCUUCCUUUUUUUGGACUCAGUGCCGUCUGGGCUGGUUUCCGUGAUCCCUGACUAACCGCUUUCUGCCCGUUCUCUCGCCACCCCCGCCCAGAGUCUCCCCUGCGCCCUCGCCCUUGCCCGGGAGGGUGGGAAGCUUUGUCCCACUCCCUGCCCACACGCGUCUCCGCAGCCGUAGCCGCACCUGCCUCAAUAUGAAUGGGGUCAGCGACCCACCUCUUUUUAUAAAAGAUAUUAAGCCCGGACUGAAAAACUUAAAUGUCGUCUUUAUUGUCCUGGAGAUAGGACGCGUGACCAAAACCAAAGACGGCCAUGAAGUGAGAUCAUGCAAAGUAGCAGAUAAAACGGGCAGCAUCACUAUUUCCGUGUGGGAUGAAAUCGGAGGUCUUAUACAGCCAGGGGAUAUUAUUCGGUUGACCAGAGGGUAUGCCUCCAUGUGGAAAGGGUGUUUGACACUUUAUACUGGAAGGGGUGGAGAACUUCAAAAAAUUGGGGAAUUUUGUAUGGUUUAUUCAGAAGUGCCAAAUUUCAGUGAACCCAACCCAGAUUAUCGAGGACAACAGAGCAGAGGGGCACAAAAUGAACAGAAGAAUAAUUCCAUGAAUAAUAAUAUGGGUACAGGUACAUUUGGACCAGUGGGAAAUGGGGUUCAAACUGGCCCUGGCCCGGAAUCAAGGGGAUGCCAAUUUUCAUAUGCUGGUAGAAGCAAUGGCCGGGGACCUACAAAUCCACAGCUACAAGGAACGGCUAAUAAUCAAACAGUCGUGACCACAAUAAGUAAUGGCAGGGACCCUCGGAGAGCCUUUAAAAGAUGACCUAUGCCAAAUACUCACAUGUAGUUUUUAAACUACAUGCCCUACUUGAACACUUACUGCACUUUUAUUUAUCGUUAACUGUGAAAACUAUGUCCUUUAUCGGUUUCCUUUUCUGUUUUUGGUUUGGUAACAAGAGUGGUUUGUUUUUAUAGCAAAACUGUUAAGCUGCUCAAGUCUCCUGUUGAAGAAUUUGAAGAAUGGGAACACUCUGAAAAGUAGGGGCAUUUAUUUUUAGAGCCAGAAGAUCUAUGGUUAUCCUCUAAAAAGCCUGCACCCAUUUCGUGGGGAAGCCUUCAAAACCCAAGUGAAUUACAAUCCAUAAUGAAUAUUUGCCCUACCAGUCUGCUUGGACGGUACUCAUCAAGAAGAGGAAGAAAGUUUUCUACCUUCCUCUUUCCUGGUGCUUUCACCUGUGAAUUUUUAAAUGUUUAAACACCUACCGAAAACAAAAAUCAUUUAGUAUAGCAAUACACGCUGCUAGGAUUGGGUCCCAUUUCAUUUUGGCAGAACAGUUCUGAAGAGGUUUGAAGUGUCAUCGGCCAGCUGGCCCCUCCUCUCUGGGCCAGUAUUGGGUUGUUACUAUGAUCCAGAAGUUCGUAAGGCCAGAAGAUGAUGGGUAAUAGUGAAGGGUGCAGUGUGCUUUCCCCUAGGCAUUUACACAGGAUUUCCUUUUUUAUUACCAGCUCUUGCUUUGUUCCUGUAGUUUUAGGAAUCUGCUUUAGCUUUGAGGACAGUUUAAUUUGAUGCCCUGAGUAUUUGUAGCACUGAGUACUUGCCACUCAUAUUUUGAUCAUUUAACAUUUUGAAAGAAUGUUUAAUUUGCUGGGUUGAGUAAUAUAAUGCCAAAGGGAUGAUGCUGAAAAUGGGAGGUUAGUAAAAAAGAAUUUUUAGAGUAGAGGUAGCUGGUUAACUAGUCCUGAGAAGUUUUCUCAGAGGUACAGAUUGACUGUUCUACAUCAGUGUGAAGACACAACGGCAGUUUUAAGUUUAUAUAGAUCUGGAGUUUCAGUUACUGAAAUGACUUCCCUUUUCUGUUAGAAAGUGAUUACUGUUUGCUCCAAGCAAAUUUAGGCUGCUGUGACUCUUAAGACCCUUUUCUCUAAUGUAUUUGAAAGGGUCUAGAGACAACAAACCUUGAAAACCAUGGAAAAGGCAGUAUCAACAUGGAGCACUUGCCCCCCCUUUCCUAUCUGAUGAGUCUUUACGUUUCUGAUAGAAAAGAGGGUGACAGUUCUCUGGUAGGGGUUGGUUGUAUGACGGGUAAAAGAUGUUCUUGGCUGUGGUGGAAACCAGGUUUCAGCCAAUGAUUAAAUGUCAGGGUAAUUAAAACACUCCCACAUUUCGCAAAGAAGUCCUAAUGAUUAACAGUUAAGGUAUGCUUCUGAGGAAAUCUGAUUGUGACCUUUGGAAAACAGCACUGCCAUGAAUGGUAUGUUGUUAGGUCCUCAGGGAGAAGCUUAGGAAAAACAUUUUGCUUUCCAGGUGUAUUCAACUUUUCUCCCAAUUCCUGGAAGUUUGUUUUAUUAGGCACACACCAGACUUUUGUUCAAGUAUUGUGACCAGAUUACUCCAGGUUUCUGAGCUGAAAGUGUCUAAUGAUGUUUCUCAAAGCACAGAUCACAAAGUAAGAAACAGACUGGAGAAAACCAAGUCCGACUGUUCCUAAUAAGCCAUUUAUUUAGUACUUUUCACACUAAGAACAUUCAACCCAAAGAUGUUUUUAAGGGCUGUUUACCAGUAUGAGGUAACUGGUAUGAUGCAGUAAAAUGAGCAUUUUAACAAGUUUGACUGGUAGACACUUCAGCCUUUUGAGAGGCCUCGGUAGGUAACCCACAACUGCAGUGUGACUCCCCAAGUUUUAGGACCACGCCAAUCCAAAUCGUGGAGACUAGCUAUUGAAAUGCGAAUAGACCCCACAGUCCUCACUAUCACGUGUGCUUACUGACAACCUCAGCGUAAGGAGUUGGCCUGGCUUUAGAAACCGGUUCUUUACAUUUUCAGCCAAAAAAUUUUGUUUUACUCCAGCAAAAUCUUUUGGACGUAGAGUUAGUUCAGUGUCUUGUCCAUAUUUUGACUGUAUGUUGAGUAAAACUGAAGCAAUGGUUUAUAAGCCAGUUGUAGGAUAUUUUCCCCAGGAACUUGUUAGGACUAGGAAUUGGUUCCCUGCUGGACCAGAAGGGGACUUUGUAAGUGUAGGUCUGGUAGAGCAGCACUUGAGAUAAUGACCCUGAAGAUUUUUGUGUCUUGCCCUUGACAUUUCCCCCAAUACAGAAAUAACUUUGCUUUGAAAUGGCACAUGCAUAUCUCCAUACAUCCUUAGUUUCAUUUAUUAUUGUGAAGCUAGAAUAUACCAAAAUUCUGGUUUGUAAAACAUGGGAAAAUUGUACUUAGAAGCCUAUGUCUCCAAAGCACAGAAUUGAUGGGUAAAGUAGGGUAGUCCCAAGCAGAGUAGGGUUUGAGUAUGGCCUCUAGAUGUGAGCAUUGUUGAGUUUUGAAUUAGGUUCAAAUAGAACUAUUCAAAUUAUGUCCAUACUAAGAUCAGAUUAUUUAUAAUGGAGUCACCUAGCUUCAUUUGGGCCUAAAAGUAAAGAGCUUUUUCACCCUA